rnacentral:rRNA from 1 species
UACGUAGGGCGCAAGCGUUAUCCGGAAUUAUUGGGCGUAAAGAGCUCGUAGGCGGUUUGUCGCGUCUGCCGUGAAAGUCCGGGGCUCAACUCCGGAUCUGCGGUGGGUACGGGGCAGACUAGAGUGAUGUAGGGGGAGACUGGAAUUCCUGGUGUAGCGGUGAAAUGCGCAGAUAUCAGGAGGAACACCGAUGGCGAAGGCAGGUCUCUGGGCAUUAACUGACGCUGAGGAGCGAAAAGCAUGGGGGAGCGAACAGG